AGGCUGCUGAGGAUAGUGGACUCAGGUCAGAAGACACUCCACUGUGGCUCAGAACCUGCCAGUCUGAGAAGCAGCCCCUCUGCCCAGUAGAGGCACCUGUAGGAGGCGCCUGUUGGCCACAGCAGGCUUACACUAGGAAGACCACAGGUGGACCACGGCUGCUUCUGCAAUGCCUGCCCCAGUGGAAUGUUCAGAACAUAAUUCCUUUGCUCAGUCUAAUUAUUUCAGACCUCAAAACGUAAACGUAUUUCUGAAGCUUUAAUUACUCCACUGGACUCUGUUCUGUUUGAGAAUUAUAAAAUACAGAGUGGGGAUAGACUGUGUGCCAUUUCCAGUGUCCCUGGGGAUGGUCUCCUGCUUUCUCAGUGAAUGCUCUGCCCAAGGCUGAGAUCAUCUCCCAGUUAAUGUUCUGGGCCUGAAUCCUUCCGAUUCUUGAUAGAAAUCCAGAGGGAAAGUAUAGUGGGUAGUCUUAGUGACAGAUUCUGUCCUCUGGGAAAUGAACAGGAGCUCUGGCACCCUCCGAGGGCCUCUCUGGCAUGCACCCUUGCUCCAGCUGCUCACGGCUCAGGCUGGGUUUGCUUGCAGCUUCAAGUGUACAUGUUCUAAUGAAAAGAAAGAACAACAGAACACAGAAGGCAUGGCUGAGGAGGCGAGCAUAACCUGUCCCCUUCAUGGUCAUGUGGCCGCAUCACCUCUUUCAGUAAUGUGAGGUUACCUGCUUUACACUCAGCCUACUCUCGCCAAAGGGAUGGAGGAGACCAUCAGUCAAACCAAACGCAUCCUCUGGAUGUGUCUGGAAGGAUGCUCAGCCUUGCCCUGCAGAGAGUGGAGUACCCCACAUUCCCACCUCACCCAGUACUUGAUACUUGAAAUCUCUUGUGGAGUCAGUCAGAGGAGCACGUGACAGGAUCGUUUUAAUCCCUGUUCUUUAAAGUCUUCAGUGCCACAGCAGUCUGCUGUGGCAUGUAACCCCGUGUCCCCGGUGUUUACCUGGCCUGUGACCCUUUACCCAACACGAGGAAAGGCUCUGUAUUCUCUACACAAAUGACUACUUGUGUAGCUACAGAAUUUGUCAUGGGAAAGCCCAGCCUACAUCCUGGAACUCCUUUACCCAUCCCCAGAGCUACUUUUGGGCUAUCCCACUGCAGCUCCUGCCCUGUUUGGGCUGAGAACAUGAUGAGCGCUCCACUGAAGGAGGUGGGGAUGGGGUGCUUGUCAGAUUCUGUACCCCAGAGUCAAUGGCAGGCAAGCCGUGAACGUCCCCUGUCCUAUGGUUGGAACGUGUGUGAUUUUGAACUACCUGUGUGCACUGGUCUUUGGAUAUUGUUUGGCUUUUUAAGUGAGGAUCGUCCUGAUGGUAUCUAAUGUCAGCAGUAUUCCUGAUUAAAUGGUGUUCUUCCUUAAGAUGCCCGUUGGGAUUUCCCCUGCAUUGUACCGCUUCUCUCAAGCAUAGGAGGAGAUACACCGUGACUCUUCAUUCUCUCUGGCACAUUUUGCUGCCCUUCACCACCCGCAAGACUGUGAGACACCUGGAGUGGGAAAGGUCUCUGGGGUCCCUCUGUGGCAGGGACAGGUGGAAGGGGAAGCCAGCAUGGCUCGUCUGUGCAGGUGAAAGGCACCACCCCACUCCCAGCCUGCGCUGCGUUUACAUGAUCAGCAGUUCCGUUUACAGCUCACUCCAUGUUCACACUUUCUGGCUGUGUGUUGAGACGGCGGCCACUGUACAGAUAUUUAUUAUGCUUUCCAAACUUUCCCAUGAGAUUUUUUGAAUAAACAUGGAUUUUAUGAAGUGUAAUAUUUUUCUGGGAUAAUGAGACCCUUUGCACUUUCUGAGUUGCUAAUAACAGUUCACAGAACGCUCCUUAGUUCCUCUGUCUUCUCCUCUGACUCUAAGUGACUGUGAACCUCUGCUGCCACUGAACUUCGUGGGGAGGAGGCAUAGCACUGGCCUCUCCACUUAAGAGCCUUGCACACACACACACACACACACACACACUUAUUUGUGUAUACAUGCAUUUGUAAUUUAGAGCAUCAGGGAUCUAUCCACUUGAAAAUGUUGUGUAUAUGUGUCUGUGUGCAUUUAUAUAUGUAUACCUCGUGAGAAAAUGAGUCAGAACACCAUCCACUACAAUUUCAGAGCGGGGGGGUGGGAAGUAGUGGUUAUAUAUAAAAUGCAUACCCAUGAAUGUAUGAGAAUAUGUGCACACUUAUGUGUAUAUUAUAUUGGCAUGUAUGCGUAGAGAGGUAUGAGUUGGCAUAUUUGCAUAAAUGGCGGGGGGGGGAGUAGUGGUUAUAUAUAAAAUGCAUACCCAUGAAUGUAUGAGAAUAUGUGCACACUUAUGUGUAUAUUAUAUUGGCAUGUAUGCGUAGAGAGGUAUGAGUUGGCAUAUUUGCAUAAAUGGCGGGGGGGGGAAGUAGUGGUUAUAUAUAAAAUGCAUACCCAUGAAUGUAUGAGAAUAUGUGCACACUUAUGUGUAUAUUAUAUUGGCAUGUAUGCGUAGAGAGGUAUGAGUUGGCAUAUUUGCAUAAAUGCAAGCGAGUAUGCAUGUAUAUACAGCUGUGAUUGCAGCAUGUAAGAGACUUGCCCCCUGCCCAACCCCAACAAGUGGCUCUGCGUUCCCAGCAGAAGAGUUCUGCGUGGGUCUGCAAGCCUGGGAAUAGAAGCACAUUUAUGUACACAUGCUUUUAAAUCUACACGUAUGAGAUGUGCUCUCCUGUGUUAAGCUGGGAGCACUGACAUUAUGCUGUGUAUCAAAACAAGUGAUG
rnacentral:lncRNA from 1 species